CUACGGGUCGCUGCAGUAGGGAAUAUUGCACAAUGGGCGAAAGCCUGAUGCAGCAACGCCGCGUGAGGGACGACGGCCUUCGGGUUGUAAACCUCUUUUAGCAGGGAAGAAGCGAAAGUGACGGUACCUGCAGAAAAAGCACCGGCUAACUACGUGCCAGCAGCCGCGGUAAUACGUAGGGUGCAAGCGUUGUCCGGAAUUAUUGGGCGUAAAGAGCUCGUAGGUGGUUUGUCGCGUCUGCUGUGAAAAUCCGAGGCUCAACCUCGGACCCGCAGUGGGUACGGGCAAACUAGAGUGCGGUAGGGGAGAUUGGAAUUCCUGGUGUAGCGGUGGAAUGCGCAGAUAUCAGGAGGAACACCAAUGGCGAAGGCAGAUCUCUGGGCCGUAACUGACGCUGAGGAGCGAAAGCGUGGGGAGCGAACAGGAUUAGAUACCCCUGUAGUC
rnacentral:rRNA from 1 species